UGGGCUUGACAUCUCGGGGAAAGACCUCAGAAACGAGGUCCCCUCUUCGGAGUCCCGAGACAGGUGCUGCAUGGCUGUCGUCAGCUCGUAUCGUGAGAUGUUGGGUUAAGUCCCGCAACGAGCGCAACCCUUGCCAUUAGUUGCCAUCAUUAAGUUGGGCACUCUAGUGGGACUGCCGGUGAUAAGCCGGAGGAAGGUGGGGAUGACGUGUAGGAGCUCGAC
rnacentral:misc_RNA from 1 species